GCCCCAGGUCCGUAGGUCGUCCGCUCGUGAACCGCGUCAGGCCCCCGCAGGGAGCAGCGCUAAACGGGUCGAGACUUCGCUGCGUCAACCUGGGGCAUU
rfam:Gemmatimonadetes bacterium 13_1_40CM_3_69_22 13_1_40cm_3_scaffold_8805, whole genome shotgun sequence.